GUCGCCUGUUUAUCAAAAACAUAGCUUCUUGAAUUUAUAAGAAGUCCUGCCUGCCCAGUGGUUUAUCUAAACGGCCGCGGUAUUUUGACCGUGCAAAGGUAGCAUAAUAAUUUGUCCUUUAAAUGUGGACUAGUAUGAAUGGCGUUACAUUUUCUAACUGUCUCUCUAUAUUUUCUUCUAAAUUUCUACCCCCGUGAAGAAGCGGGGAUGAAAAAGUAAGACGAGAAGACCCUGUCGAGCUUAAGCUUAAUAAAAUAUAUUAAUUUCAACAGAAGUUUCUGCUCUUAAAAUUUUAUAAGGCUUUGGUUGGGGCAACCAUGGAGAACAAAAACCCUCCAGACUUAUAGUAGAGCUCUACUCUCUAACUUUCCUAAGGAACCAAUUUUUUUGGAAAUCGGAAAAAGUUACCGCAGGGAUAACAGCGUAAUCUUCUUUGAGAGCUCCUAUUGACAAGAAGGUUUGCGACCUCGAUGUUGGAUUGGGGCACCCAAAAAGUGCAGCCGCUUUUAAAGGUUGGACUGUUCGUCCAUUAAAGCCCUACGUGAUCUGAGUUCAGACCRGA
rnacentral:rRNA from 1 species